AUGGUCCGUUAAAGUGUUCGGAUCGCGGCGACGUGGACGGUUCGCUGCCCGCGACGUCGCGAGAAGUCCACUGAACCUUAUCAUUUAGAGGAAGGAGAAGUCGUACCAAGGUUUCCGUAGGUGAACCUGCGGAAGGAUCAU
rnacentral:rRNA from 1 species